rnacentral:rRNA from 1 species
UACGAAGGGUGCAAGCGUUACUCGGAAUUACUGGGCGUAAAGCGUGCGUAGGUGGUUCGUUAAGUCUGAUGUGAAAGCCCUGGGCUCAACCUGGGAAUUGCAUUGGAUACUGGCGGGCUAGAGUACGGUAGAGGGUGGCGGAAUUCCUGGUGUAGCAGUGAAAUGCGUAGAUAUCAGGAGGAACACCCGUGGCGAAGGCGGCCAUCUGGACCAGUACUGACGCUGAGGCACGAAAGCGUGGGGAGCAAACAGG